rnacentral:piRNA from 2 species
GUCCUGUCAGAUUCUCCAGCUCCUUCCGC